rnacentral:rRNA from 1 species
AUUGAACGCUGGCGGCAGGCCUAACACAUGCAAGUCGAGCGGAUGAUGGGAGCUUGCUCCUGGAUUCAGCGGCGGACGGGUGAGUAAUGCCUAGGAAUCUGCCUGGUAGUGGGGGACAACGUUUCGAAAGGAACGCUAAUACCGCAUACGUCCUACGGGAGAAAGCAGGGGAACUUCGGGCCUUUCGCUAUCAGAUGAGCCUAGGUGGGAUUAGCUUGUUGGUGAGGUAACGGCUCACAAAGGCGACGCACCGUAACUGGUCGGAGAGGAUGAUCAGUCACACUGGAACUGAGACACGGUCCAGACUCCUACGGGAGGCAGCAGUGGGGGAUAUUGGACAAUGGGCGAAAGCCUGAUCCAGCCAUGCCGCGUGUGUGAAGAAGGUCUUCGGAUUGUAAAGCACUUUAAGUUGGGAGGAAGGGUUGUAGAUUAAUACUCUGCAAUUUUGACGUUACCGACAGAAUAAGCACCGGCUAACUCUGUGCCAGCCGCCGCAGUAACAC